ACACGACCGUACCGCAAACCGACACUGGUGCGCGAGAUGAGUAUUCUAAGGCGCUUGAGAGAACUCAGGAGAAGGAACUCGGCAAAUUGACACCGUAACUUCGGAAGAAGGUGUGCCUUUAGUAGGUGAACCAUUUACUUGGGGAGCCCAAUGAGGCUGCAAAAAAUCGGUGGCUGCAACUGUUUAUUAAAAACACAGCACUCUGCUAAGACGAAAGUCGACGUAUAGGGUGUGACGCCUGCCCGGUGCUGGAAGAUUAAAUGAUGGGGUGCAAGCUCUUGAUUGAAGUCCCAGUAAACGGCGGCCGUAACUAUAACGGUCCUAAGGUAGCGAAAUUCCUUGUCGGGUAAGCUCCGACCUGCACGAAUGGCGUAAUGAUGGCCACACUGUCUCCUCCUGAGACUCAGCGAAGUUGAAAUGUUUGUGAUGAUGCAAUCUCCCCGCGGAAAGACGGAAAGACCCCAUGAACCUUUACUGUAGCUUUGUAUUGGACUUUGAACAGAUCUGUGUAGGAUAGGUGGGAGGCUUUGAAGUGUGGUCGCUAGAUCGCAUGGAGCCAACGUUGAAAUACCACCCUGGUGUGUUUGAGGUUCUAACCUAGGUCCAUUAUCUGGAUCGGGGACAGUGCAUGGUAGGCAGUUUGACUGGGGCGGUCUCCUCCCAAUGUGUAACGGAGGAGUUCGAAGGUACGCUAGGUACGGUCGGACAUCGUGCUAAUAGUGCAAUGGCAUAAGCGUGCUUAACUGCGAGACUGACAAGUCGAGCAGAUGCGAAAGCAGGACAUAGUGAUCCGGUGGUUCUGUAUGGAAGGGCCAUCGCUCAACGGAUAAAAGGUACUCUGGGGAUAACAGGCUGAUACCGCCCAAGAGUUCAUAUCGACGGCGGUGUUUGGCACCUCGAUGUCGGCUCAUCUCAUCCUGGGGCUGUAGCCGGUCCCAAGGGUAUGGCUUUUCGCCAUUUAAAGAGGUACGUGAGCUGGGUUUAAAACGUCGUGAGACAGUUUGGUCCCUAUCUUCCGUGGGCGCUGCAGAUUUGAGGAAGCCUGCUCCUAGUACGAGAGGACCGGAGUGGACGAACCUCUGGUGUAUCGGUUGUCACGCCAGUGGCAUUGCCGAGUAGCUAAGUUCGGAAAAGAUAACCGCUGAAAGCAUCUAAGCGGGAAACUCGUUUCAAGAUUAGAUCUGCCGGGGCCUUGAGCCCCCUAAAGAGUCGUUCAAGACCAGGACGUUGAUAGGUCAGGUGUGGAAGCUA
rnacentral:rRNA from 1 species